GUGGGUAUACCUCAGUGGCAGAGCACAUGCCUAGCAUUCACAGUGUCCUGGGUUCAAUCCCCAGUACCUCCA
rnacentral:tRNA from 1 species